rnacentral:rRNA from 1 species
UAACGCGUGGGAAUCUGCCCUGGAGUGGGGGAUAACCCGGCGAAAGCCGGGCUAAUACCGCAUACGUCCUGAGGGAGAAAGAUUUAUCGCUCUAGGAGGGGCCCGCGUCGGAUUAGCUAGUUGGUGAGGUAACGGCUCACCAAGGCGACGAUCCGUAGCUGGUCUGAGAGGAUGAUCAGCCACACUGGGACUGAGACACGGCCCAGACUCCUACGGGAGGCAGCAGUGGGAUUUAUUGGACAAUGGGGGCAACCCUGAUCCAGCAAUGCCGGGUGAGUGAUGAAGGCCUUAGGGUUGU